GUGCUUGCUUCAGCAGCACAUACACUAAAACUGGAACAAUACAGGCAAGCUUAUGGCUCCCAAACAAGAUGACAUGCAGAUUCAUGAAGCAUUCCGUGUUUUU